rnacentral:tRNA from 1 species
UCCUGGUGGCUCAGAGGGUAAAGCAUCUGCCCGAAAUGCGGGAGACCCAGGUUCGAUCCCUGGGUCAGGAA